UACAGGGGGGGCAAGCGUUGUUCGGAAUUACUGGGCGUAAAGGGCUCGUAGGUGGCCAACUAAGUCCGACGUGAAAUCCCAAGGCUUAACCUUGGAACUGCGUCGGAUACUGGAUGGCUUGAAUUCGGGAGAGGGAUGCAGAAUUCCAGGUGUAGCGGUGAAAUGCGUAGAUAUCUGGAGGAAUACCGGUGGCGAAGGCGGCAUCCUGGACCGACAUUGACGCUGAGGAGCGAAAGCUAGGGGAGCAAACGGG
rnacentral:rRNA from 1 species